ACUCCUACGGGAGGCAGCAGUGGGGAAUAUUGCACAAUGGGGAAACCCUGAUGCAGCCAUGCCGCGUGUGUGAAGAAGGCCUCGGUUGUAAAGCACUUUCAGUAGGGAGGAAGGUAGUGUAGUUAACACCUGCAUUAUUUGACGUUACCUACAGAAGAAGCACCGGCUAACUCCGUGCCAGCAGCCGCGGUAAUACGGAGGGGUGCGAGCGUUAAUCGGAAUUACUGGGCGUAAAGCGCAUGCAGGCGGCCUGUUAAGUCAGAUGUGAAAGCCCGGGGGCUUAACCUCGGAAUUGCAUUUGAAACUGGCAGGCUAGAGUCUUGUAGAGGGGGUAGAAUUUCAGGUGUAGCGGUGAAAUGCGUAGAGAUCUGAAGGAAUACCAGUGGCGAAGGCGGCCCCCUGGACAAAGACUGACGCUCAGAUGCGAAAGCGUGGGGAGC
rnacentral:rRNA from 1 species